rnacentral:misc_RNA from 1 species
GAUGAAGAACGUAGCGAAAUGCGAUAAGUAGUGUGAAUUGCAGAAUUCAGUGAAUCAUCGAAUCUUUGAACGCACAUUGCGCCCCUUGGUAUCCCGAGGGGCAUGUCUGUUCGAGCGUCAUUUCGCCACUCAAGCCUGGCUUGGUGUUGGGCGACGUCCCCUUUGGGGACGCGCCUCGAAACGCUCGGCGGCGUGGCACCGGCUUUAAGCGUAGCAGAAUCUUUCGCUUUGGAAGUCGGGGCCCCGUCUGCCGGAAGACCUACUCGCAAGGUUGACCUCGGAUCAGGCAGGGAUACCCGCUGAACUUAAGCAUAUCAAUAAGCGGAGGA